CCUCCUGUGGCCCAAUGGGUCAGUGCGUCUGGCUAUUAACCAAAAGGUUGGAGUUUCAAGCCCACCAAGGAUGA